UGGGGAAUAUUGGACAAUGGGGGCAACCCUGAUCCAGCAAUGCCGCGUGUGUGAAGAAGGCCUGCGGGUUGUAAAGCACUUUCAGUAGAGAAGAAAAGCCUGAGGUUAAUACCCUCGGGUCUUGACGUAACCUACAGAAGAAGCACCGGCUAACUCCGUGCCAGCAGCCGCGGUAAUACGGAGGGGGCAAGCGUUGUUCGGAUUUACUGGGCGUAAAGGGCGCGUAGGCGGGGUAUCAAGUUAGGGGUGAAAGCCCGGGGCUCAACCUCGGAACUGCCUUUAAAUCUGAUACUCUAGAGUCCGGAAGAGGGUCGCGGAAUUCCCAGUGUAGAGGUGAAAUUCGUAGAUAUUGGUAAGAACACCGGUGGCGAAGGCGGCGACCUGGUCCGGUACUGACGCUGAGGCGCGAAAGCGUGGGGAGCAAACAGGAUUAGAUACCCCCGUAGUCC
rnacentral:rRNA from 1 species